UCUUUUCCCCAAUCCAGUGCAGGAGGGAAGUCCCUUUUCCCAAAUGGACACCUGGCUGCCUAUUAGCCUCUACAAGGCUUUUUGCCUUGACAGGGAGGGUCCUAGCCCUCUUUCAACAACCCCAGCCCCCUCCUUGCUUUACCAAACCUGCCUUAUUCCAUCUCUCUCAAACCCUGUCCAGUUUUGUAGUCAUAAUCCUCCAUUUUGGUUUCUGGCAGUCCCUAACCACACCCCUUACCCUGAAACCCACCCCUAACCAUGCCCCUAACACCUCCAAGUUGUAGUGCUGCCUCUUGGCCACUAGAGGUCAAUAUUGAGUGAUGAUUUUUUCCUCCUUUUUUUUCUCUUUUCUUCUUUUUUUCUUCCUCUUUUAUCCCCCCCCCCCCUUUCCUACUCAGCUAAAGUGGUUGUUUGUUGCCAUUAGAGGUCAGCAACAAAUAAAUAAUUAAAUAAUUUCCCCCUUCUUUUUCAAUGAAUAAGAAUGCAAUAAAAUCAUAACAAUAAAAUAAAAUGAGCUAAAUACCCUCACCUUACUCUGUUCCCAUCCCUUAUAAUAAUAAUAAUUAAAAAAUAAAUCAAUAAAAAUAUACAUUUUUUUCUUUUUUGAUAAAAAUGCUAAUCAGAAUAAAUGCUACCAUGCAUGAAAUUUGUCUGCUUUUUUGUGUAAUUAGAGGCAAUGUAACAUUCCGAAUUCCCUCCUUCUUCUUGUACUCCUGGGAAACUUUAUUUUUCUGAUGCUCAAUAUUAAGACAAAAAAUGUUACUAUAUGAGAGAUUAAAGCAGAAAUGCAGGCCAACAGGAAAAUUCAAUCAAAAAAUUUCAAACACUUACAUGAUCUAAGGAAAAGAUCUCAUCCAAAAGAAGUCUGAAUUUUGCAAGCCUUUUCCUGAACUACAAAUAGAAGACAAUCCUAUUUCUUUCAAAAUGGAGAUGAAACACCCCUCUUGUAUACAUCAGUCCAUAGCUCAAAAUCCUUCAGAGGCAAACAAGAACAGAGGAUCAAGAGAACACCCUGGGUGAAGAGACAAUAAUGGUCUUCAUCAGAGUCUCCAAUAAAGGAAGAAGAAAUUUAGGGUGAUGAUUUUGCUUUGACAAAGGAGCAAGGUGGCACAGAGAGAGAUAGUUGCAUAUGGAAUCAUAAAGACAAGUUUCAUUUGGGCUCCAGACAUUCAUUAGUUGUGUGACACUGGAAGAACUACUAAAAUACUCAGCUUCAGUUUUGUCAUCUGGAAAAUAGGGAUAAUGUUCACAGUUACCUUACAGAGUUGUUAUGAGGAUCAAAUGAGAUAAAAGGCAAAUCACUUUGCAAGCAUUAAAACUCAAUAUAAAUGAUAUUAUUUAUAUAAAUGUUGCAUCUCUUUCAAUAUUUUACACCAUGCACAAUAAACUUAUUAAAUAUUUGUCAAAU